rnacentral:rRNA from 1 species
AUUGAACGCUGGCGGCAGGCCUAACACAUGCAAGUCGAGCGGAUGAAGGGAGCUUGCUCCUGGAUUCAGCGGCGGACGGGUGAGUAAUGCCUAGGAAUCUGCCUGGUAGUGGGGGAUAACGUCCGGAAACGGGCGCUAAUACCGCAUACGUCCUGAGGGAGAAAGUGGGGGAUCUUCGGACCUCACGCUAUCAGAUGAGCCUAGGUCGGAGUAGCUAGUUGGUGGGGUAAAGGCCUACCAAGGCGACGAUCCGUAACUGGUCUGAGAGGAUGAUCAGUCACACUGGAACUGAGACACGGUCCAGACUCCUACGGGAGGCAGCAGUGGGGAAUAUUGGACAAUGGGCGAAAGCCUGGUCCAGCCAUGCCGCGUGUGUGAAGAAGGUCUUCGGAUUGUAAAGCACUUUAAGGUGGGAGGAAGGGCAGUAAGUUAAGACCUUGCUGGUUUGACGUUACCAACAGAAUAAGCACCGGCUAACUUCGUG